GUGGGGAAUAUUGGACAAUGGGCGCAAGCCUGAUCCAGCCAUGCCGCGUGGGUGAAGAAGGCCCUAGGGUUGUAAAGCCCUUUCAGCGGGGACGAUAAUGACGGUACCCGCAGAAGAAGCCCCGGCUAACUUCGUGCCAGCAGCCGCGGUAAUACGAAGGGGGCUAGCGUUGUUCGGAAUUACUGGGCGUAAAGGGCGCGUAGGCGGGUUUCCAAGUCGGGGGUGAAAUUCCAGGGCUCAACCCUGGGACGGCCUUCGAUACUGGCAGCCUGGAGAUCGGGAGAGGUGAGUGGAAUUCCGAGUGUAGAGGUGAAAUUCGUAGAUAUUCGGAGGAACACCAGAAGCGAAGGCGGCUCACUGGCCCGAGACUGACGCUGAGGCGCGAAAGCGUGGGGAGCAAACAGGAUUAGAUACCCCGGUAGUCC
rnacentral:rRNA from 1 species